rnacentral:tRNA from 1 species
AGCUCUGUGGUAGAGUGCAUGCCUAGCAUGCAUGUGUUCCUGGGUUCAAUCCCCAG